UAUCAGUGAUGAUCAAUAAUAUUUGCUAUUUGAUAUGAAAUGAUAACAUUAGCAAUACCACCAAGAUCGCUGAGAUA